ACGAGACAGACCUCCCGCGCCUCCUCGGCACUCAUCAUGUUCAGCCG
rnacentral:tRNA from 1 species